CUGUGAAUGUGCGCGCAGUUCGAGUCACGUUUCGAUGGAGCACCCGCGAGUUCAGUAGCCGCCGUGCGGCCGCGUGCAUUCGUUGAGAUUUUCGGUUAGUUCGUAUCUUCUCUUAGUAAACGCGUAUUUUGACAGAAUAGUUUCCUAUGCACAUAUACACAGUUAAAGUUACGUGAAAUAUAUGCGUAGUGUCAUAGACACAAAGAGACAGCGAAAACAAGUGACAAUCGCCUUAUAUUACUCUUAUUCAAAGAGAGCUAAGAAUGUGUUGUCCGUGGCUUUGUUAAAACUUUUCAAAAGUCGACCGUAAGUUUUCCUUUUAUUUUCUUUACUUUUCUUUUUUUUUUCUUUUUUUCUUUUUCCCCUUUUCCGUCGUGCGCGUUGCAGUGUUAAACAGCAAAAGAAUAAGAAAAAGGAAGGAAGAGGAAGAAGAGGAAGAUUGGAAAGAAAAGGGACAAAGAAUAGUGCAUGAGAAAAGUUAAGAAACGUAUAGCCGAUUCUUGGCGUAGUUACAACGACGGAAGUCGUCAUAUCGAACGUGUUCGUACGUGUCUUCUUUCACGAAGAAGAAUUUUCAACGAGAUCUUCAACGUCUUUAUAAACAUCGUCAGCAUCCGAGUGAUGAGCUUCAAGAGACCCCGGAGGAUAUCGUCCUAGUCUCUUCUGUAUUUAAUUCCAUCAUCAAUAUGGAUGCGCAAACUGAGUUAUCCAUCGACAACGGAAAAUACUGGAACGAUUAGAUUUUCCCAUAGUGGAUCGAUCUCGUGACGGUAAUAUUAAUUUUCAUUAUAUUUUCAAAUAUUCACGUUAAUCACAAAAUCAUCGUUCUUUAUAAUCGACUUUCUUUAACUAAUAUUUUUAUCGUUAUUAAUAUUAUUAUUAUUAUUAUUAUUAUUAUUAUUAUUAUUAUUAUUAUUAUCAUCAUCAUUAUUAUUAUUAUUUUUAUUAUUUGUAUGUGCGAGUGUGUGUGUGUGUGUGUGUGUAUGUGUGUGCGAGGGCGCGCGAAAUUUCUCCUAAUUGUUCACUCAUUAAUUGAGACUAGAAUUGGAGUAAUACCGGAAAUCUAUCGUAAUACCACGCUAAUACCCCCGAUGUAAUAGAAGAGUGAGGAUUACUCAGCACUCACGUGGUCUCGAAUUUGAUAAAAGCAGUUCAUUCGCGCGAGAAAUCAAAAAUGGAGGAAGGAUUUGAGAGAAUCGUAUCUAAUCCUCGUAGAUCAAUACCUUUUAUUCUUUCUUUCCUUUUCUUUCUCCUUUUUUUUUUUUUUUCUCUUUUUUUUUUUAUCUUUUACCUUUUCCUUUCAUUUCUUUUUUUUUUCUUUUUCUUCUUCUUUCAAAUCAGAAUUCGCGUUAAUCCGAUAAGCUUUAUAUCGCUAAUGGAACGAUUUUUUAAAUCGUUCCUUUAUAAAAGAAACAAGUCGAUAUUAUAUAGUGCAAGAUUUUGUUUUUUUUUCUUUUCUUUUCUUUUUCUCUUUUUUUUUCUUUUUUCCUUUUUUGUUUUAUUUCAUUUGAUCGUUAAAUUCUUCGAAAAUGAAAACGCAUCUUUACGCUAAUAAUAAAUAAAAAAGAAAUUAUAGAUAGUAUAUUUUAUUUUUAUUCUCCUCUUUUUUUUUUUUUUUUUUCUUUUCUUUUCAGUUCUUACUCUAUUCUCUCUCUCUCUUUUUU